CAAGCCUAAAUUUCAGUGAUGAAAUGCGGGGGAUAAUAUCUAGGGGUGAAUCUUUCUUUUAAAGUAGGGGUAUCCCACAGUCCCGAACCCGUCAACUAACUCCGUAGGCAAAAUUAAGGGGG
rnacentral:sRNA from 1 species